GGGUUGUGAGGUUAAGCGACUAAGCGUACACGGUGGAUGCCUAGGCAGUCAGAGGCGAUGAAGGGCGUGCUAAUCUGCGAAAAGCGUCGGUAAGCUGAUAUGAAGCGUUAUAACCGACGAUACCCGAAUGGGGAAACCCAGUGCAAUACGUUGCACUAUCGUUAGAUGAAUACAUAGUCUAACGAGGCGAACCGGGGGAACUGAAACAUCUAAGUACCCCGAGGAAAAGAAAUCAACCGAGAUUCCCCCAGUAGCGGCGAGCGAACGGGGAGGAGCCCAGAGUCUGAAUCAGUUUGUGUGUUAGUGGAAGCGUCUGGAAAGUCGCACGGUACAGGGUGAUAGUCCCGUACACCAAAAUGCACAGGCUGUGAACUCGAUGAGUAGGGCGGGACACGUGACAUCCUGUCUGAAUAUGGGGGGACCAUCCUCCAAGGCUAAAUACUCCUGACUGACCGAUAGUGAACCAGUACCGUGAGGGAAAGGCGAAAAGAACCCCGGCGAGGGGAGUGAAAUAGAACCUGAAACCGUGUACGUACAAGCAGUGGGAGCACCUUCGUGGUGUGACUGCGUACCUUUUGUAUAAUGGGUCAGCGACUUAUAUUUUGUAGCAAGGUUAACCGAAUAGGGGAGCCGUAGGGAAACCGAGUCUUAACUGGGCGUCUAGUUGCAAGGUAUAGACCCGAAACCCGGUGAUCUAGCCAUGGGCAGGUUGAAGGUUGGGUAACACUAACUGGAGGACCGAACCGACUAAUGUUGAAAAAUUAGCGGAUGACUUGUGGCUGGGGGUGAAAGGCCAAUCAAACCGGGAGAUAGCUGGUUCUCCCCGAAAGCUAUUUAGGUAGCGCCUCGUGAACUCAUCUUCGGGGGUAGAGCACUGUUUCGGCUAGGGGGCCAUCCCGGCUUACCAAACCGAUGCAAACUCCGAAUACCGAAGAAUGUUAUCACGGGAGACACACGGCGGGUGCUAACGUCCGUCGUGAAGAGGGAAACAACCCAGACCGCCAGCUAAGGUCCCAAAGUCAUGGUUAAGUGGGAAACGAUGUGGGAAGGCACAGACAGCCAGGAUGUUGGCUUAGAAGCAGCCAUCAUUUAAAGAAAGCGUAAUAGCUCACUGGUCGAGUCGGCCUGCGCGGAAGAUGUAACGGGGCUAAACCAUGCACCGAAGCUGCGGCAGCGACACUUAGGUGUUGUUGGGUAGGGGAGCGUUCUGUAAGCCGUUGAAGGUGACCUGUGAGGGUUGCUGGAGGUAUCAGAAGUGCGAAUGCUGACAUAAGUAACGAUAAUGCGGGUGAAAAACCCGCACGCCGGAAGACCAAGGGUUCCUGUCCAACGUUAAUCGGGGCAGGGUGAGUCGACCCCUAAGGCGAGGCUGAAAAGCGUAGUCGAUGGGAAACAGGUUAAUAUUCCUGUACUUGGUGUUACUGCGAAGGGGGACGGAGAAGGCUAGGCUGGCCGGGCGACGGUUGUCCCGGUUUAAGCGUGUAGGGGGAGUGACCAGGUAAAUCCGGUUGCUUAUCAACCCUGAGGCGUGAUGACGAUGCACCACGGUGCAGAAGCAGUUGAUGCCAUGCUUCCAGGAAAAGCCUCUAAGCAUCAGGUAACAUUAAAUCGUACCCCAAACCGACACAGGUGGUCAGGUAGAGAAUACUCAGGCGCUUGAGAGAACUCGGGUGAAGGAACUAGGCAAAAUGGUGCCGUAACUUCGGGAGAAGGCACGCUGGCGUUAGGUGAAAGGACUAGCUCCUGGAGCUGAAGCCAGUCGCAGAUACCAGCUGGCUGCAACUGUUUAAUAAAAACACAGCACUGUGCAAACACGAAAGUGGACGUAUACGGUGUGACGCCUGCCCGGUGCUGGAAGGUUAAUUGAUGGGGUCAGCCGCAAGGCGAAGCUCUUGAUCGAAGCCCCAGUAAACGGCGGCCGUAACUAUAACGGUCCUAAGGUAGCGAAAUUCCUUGUCGGGUAAGUUCCGACCUGCACGAAUGGCGUAAUGAUGGCCAGGCUGUCUCCACCCGAGACUCAGUGAAAUUGAACUCGCUGUGAAGAUGCAGUGUACCCGCGGCAAGACGGAAAGACCCCGUGAACCUUUACUAUAGCUUGACACUGAACAUUGAGCCUUGAUGUGUAGGAUAGGUGGGAGGCCUUGAAGUGUGGACGCCAGUCUGCAUGGAGCCAACCUUGAAAUACCACCCUUUAAUGUUUGAUGUUCUAACUCGGCCCCAUGAUCUGGGGUGAGGACAGUGUCUGGUGGGUAGUUUGACUGGGGCGGUCUCCUCCCAAAGAGUAACGGAGGAGCACGAAGGUUAGCUAAUCACGGUCGGACAUCGUGAGGUUAGUGCAAAGGCAUAAGCUAGCUUGACUGCGAGAGUGACGGCUCGAGCAGGUACGAAAGUAGGUCUUAGUGAUCCGGUGGUUCUGAAUGGAAGGGCCAUCGCUCAACGGAUAAAAGGUACUCCGGGGAUAACAGGCUGAUACCGCCCAAGAGUUCAUAUCGACGGCGGUGUUUGGCACCUCGAUGUCGGCUCAUCACAUCCUGGGGCUGAAGUAGGUCCCAAGGGUAUGGCUGUUCGCCAUUUAAAGUGGUACGCGAGCUGGGUUUAGAACGUCGUGAGACAGUUCGGUCCCUAUCUGCCGUGGGCGUUGGAAGAUUGAGAGGGGCUGCUCCUAGUACGAGAGGACCGGAGUGGACGAAUCACUGGUGUUCGGGUUGUCAUGCCAAUGGCAUUGCCCGGUAGCUAAAUUCGGAAGAGAUAACCGCUGAAAGCAUCUAAGCGGGAAACUUGCCUCGAGAUGAGUCUUCCCUGGGGCUUUAAGCCCCCUGAAGGAACGUUAAAGACUAUGACGUUGAUAGGCUGGGUGUGUAAGUGCAGCGAUGUAUUGAGCUAACCAGUACUAAUGAUCCGUGAGGCUUAACCUUACAACACCGAAGGUGUUU
rnacentral:rRNA from 1 species